rnacentral:rRNA from 1 species
AACGGGGGAGCUAGUGUUAUUCAUCUUAACUGGGUGUAAAGGGUGUGUAGGUUGUUUUUUAAAAUUAAAAUAGAGAAUUUAAGCAUAACUUAGAAACUAUUUUUCUAAAUAAAAAACUAGAGGGCAAAGGAAGUUUGUUGUAUUUUCAAUGGAGAAAUAAAAUUUAAAGAUAUUGAGAGGACGUCCGAAAGGCGAUGGCUACAAACUAUGAUGUUUCUGACACUGAAACACGAAAGCGUGGGUAUCAAAUGGG